GCGUAGGAAACUACCCAGUAGUGGGGGACAACAGUUGGAAACGACUGCUAGUACCGCAUACGCUCUACGGAGGAAAGGGGGCUUCGGCUCUCGCUAUUGGAUGUGCCUGCGUGAGAUUAGCUAGUUGGUGGGGUAAAGGCCUACCAAGGCAAUGAUCUCUAGCUGGUCUGAGAGGAUGAUCAGCCACACUGGGACUGAGACACGGCCCAGACUCCUACGGGAGGCAGCAGUGGGGAAUAUUGCACAAUGGGCGCAAGCCUGAUGCAGCAACGCCGCGUGAGGGACGACGGCCUUCGGUUG
rnacentral:rRNA from 1 species